AUGUCGUCGCCAACCACAUCAUCCACGGCGUAUCUCCCCCAUGUCGUUGCUUCCUUGGCGGCGACUUCCACAACGGCACUAGCUGCAGCUUCUCCAGCUCUCGCUCGCGCUGUGGCUCUGUUCUUGCUCAGAGAUCCUCCCUGCAGAAGAGAGAUGACCAGUCGUAUCCCCCCCCCCCCGAGGUGCAUGCUCUAA
rnacentral:rRNA from 1 species